rnacentral:rRNA from 1 species
UACGAAGGGGGCUAGCGUUGCUCGGAAUCACUGGGCGUAAAGCGCACGUAGGCGGAUCUUUAAGUCAGGGGUGAAAUCCUGGAGCUCAACUCCAGAACUGCCUUUGAUACUGGGGAUCUCGAGUCCGGAAGAGGUGAGUGGAACUCCGAGUGUAGAGGUGAAAUUCGUAGAUAUUCGGAAGAACACCAGUGGCGAAGGCGGCUCACUGGUCAGGUACUGACGCUGAGGUGCGAAAGCUAGGGGAGCAAACGGG